UUCGCAAUGCCCGAAAGGGUGACGAAGCGACGCCGCGUGGGUGAGGAAGGCCUUCGGGUUGUAAAGCCCUGUCAGGAGUUAAGAAAUGUAAGUGCGCUAAUAUCGCAUUUACUUGACGAAGGCUCCAAAGGAAGCCACGGCUAACUCUGUGCCAGCAGCCGCGGUAAUACAGAGGUGGCAAGCGUUGUUCGGAAUUAUUGGGCGUAAAGAGCACGUAGGUGGGUUUGUAAGUCAGAUGUGAAAGCCUUCUGUUCAACGGAAGAAUUGCAUCUGAAACUGCAAAUCUUGAGUAUAGGAGGGGAGAAUGGAACUUCUGGUGGAGCGGUGAAAUGCGUAGAUAUCAGAAGGAACGCCGGCGGCGAAAGCGAUUCUCUGGCCUAUUACUGACACUCAGUGUGCGAAAGCUAGGGGAGCAAACGGGAUUAGAUACCCCGGUAGUCCUAGCUGUAAACGAUGGGCACUAAGUAGAGGGGUUUU
rnacentral:rRNA from 1 species